rnacentral:sRNA from 1 species
UUGGGAGCUCAUCAAUUUUUAUGAAAUGCCGAGUCGAUUUCUUUCUCUAAUGGCGGGCCUCAAUCCGUUAGGAUGUUGCAAAACCAGAGGAUUACAAAGGAGGGAGAAAACUCAAAUCCUGAUUUUCGGAGUUUCAUCGCCUCUUUGAUGUGGAUCUUA